AUGCCUGGCCUACCUUUACCUGCCCGGGACGCAGCGGACGCUGGGUGUGAAUUCAGUUACCCUCAGUCUGCAGACCAGAUGCGCCAGCAACAGCUGAGAGCUCGAUUAUCUCCAGAUGAGCAGCUUGCUGCUGAAGAAAGUUUCGCGUUGUACUGCAAGCCAGUUGAGCUAUACAAUAUCAUUCAGCGGCGAGCCAUUAGAAAUCCCGCUUUUCUGCAAAGAUGCCUUCAUUACAAGAUACAUGCAAGCCGAAAAAAGAGGAUUCAGAUAACGGUAUCACUAUCUCGAGGUACAAAUACUGAGUUGCCAGAACAGAAUAUCUUUCCUCUUUAUGUUCUGUUGGCUACACCUACCAGUAAUAUUUCGCUUGAAGGGCAUUCUCCGAUAUAUCGAUUCAGUCGGGCUUGUUUGCUUACCGCUUUUAGUGAAUUUGGUAAUAAAGGUCGCACCAAAGCUACAUUCAUAAUUCCAGACAUCAAGAAUUUAUCAACCUCCCGAGCUUGCAACCUUAACAUUAUCCUUAUCAGCUGCGUUUCGGAAGGGCAAGUUGGGGAAAAUCGUGGUGAACAUAACUGCUCUGUGGACCAUGUGGAAGGCUCUGCUCUCCAAAAGCUUGAAGGGAAAUGUUUCUGGGGUAAAAUACCAAUUGAUCUACUUGGUUCGUCUUUGGAGAACUGUGUAACUUUAAAUUUGGGACAUACAGUGGAGUUGGCUUCUGCAGUUAGUAUGAGCCCAAGUUUCUUAGAGCCGAAAUUUAUGGAGCAGGACAGUUGCUUGACAUUUUGCUCUCAUAAGGUUGAUGCUACGGGUUCAUAUCAACUCCAAGUAGGCAUAUCUGCUCAAGAAGCUGGUGCAAAAGACAUGUCUGAAUCUCCAUAUAGUAGUUACUCAUACAGUGGUGUCCCACCUUCUUCAUUACCACAUAUCAUAAGGUUGAGAGCUGGUAAUGUGCUUUUCAACUUCAAGUACUACAACAAUACUAUGCAAAAGACUGAAGUCACUGAAGAUUUUGCUUGCCCCUUCUGCUUGGUAAAAUGUGGAAGCUACAAGGGUUUGGGGUGUCACUUGAACUCAUCACAUGACCUAUUCCACUUUGAGUUUUGGAUAUCUGAAGAAUGCCAGGCUGUUAAUGUUAGUCUGAAGACUGAUGUCUGGAGAACUGAGCUUGUGGCUGAGGGAGUUGAUCCAAGACAUCAAACAUUUUCCUACUCCUCAAGGUUUAAGAAGCGUAGAAGGUUGGGAAUGUUGGGAACCACAGCUGAGAAAAUAAGCCAUGUACAUCCACAUAUCAUGGAUUCAGAUUCACCUGAAGACGCCCAGGCAGUGUCUGAAGACGACUUUGUGCAGAGGGAGGAAGAUGAUAUUUCUGCACCACGUGCUUCUGUUGAUCCUGCUCAAUCAUUACAUGGUAGCAAUCUUUCACCACCCACAGUACUACAGUUUGGGAAGACAAGGAAACUAUCUGCGGAGCGAGCUGAUCCCAGAAACCGGCAACUCCUGCAGAAACGUCAGUUUUUCCAUUCUCACAGGGCACAGCCAAUGGCACUGGAACAAGUUUUCUCGGACCGUGAUAGUGAAGAUGAAGUUGAUGAUGACAUCGCCGAUUUUGAAGAUAAACGGAUGCUUGAGGAUUUUGUUGACGUCACAGACGAUGAGAAACUUAUUAUGCAUAUGUGGAAUUCAUUUGUUCGGAAACAAAGGGUGCUAGCUGAUGGUCAUAUUCCUUGGGCCUGUGAGGCAUUCUCCCGGCUUCAUGGAAAACAUCUUGUACAGAAUCCUCCUCUACUAUGGAGCUGGCGUUUCCUUAUGAUUAAACUCUGGAACCACAGUCUAUUAGAUGCCCGCGCCAUGAAUGUCUGCGGCACAAUUCUUCAAGGCUACCAAAAUGAAAGCGGCUUGGACCCCAAGAAAAUGUGA
rnacentral:rRNA from 1 species